UACAGAGGGUGCGAGCGUUAAUCGGAAUUACUGGGCGUAAAGCGCGCGUAGGCGGCUUUGCAAGUCGGGUGUGAAAUCCCCAGGCUUAACCUGGGAACUGCAUUCGAGACUGCAUUGCUAGAGUAUGGGAGAGGGAAGUGGAAUUUCCGGUGUAGCGGUGAAAUGCGUAGAUAUCGGAAGGAACAUCAGUGGCGAAAGCGACUCCUGGACCAAUACUGACGCUCAUGUGCGAAAGCG
rnacentral:rRNA from 1 species